UAUUUUUGUGCCCUUUAUCAGUAAAUACUUUUAAAGAUAGUACCAUCAGACUUCAACGGACCUCUCUAUCUUUGCUGUACCUUGAGGUGGCACAGUGGCUCGAAUGAAUAACUCACACUCAGUGUCCUCUACUCCUCUGAGACCUCCUACUCCCAAAUCCUCUCACUUUACUUCACCUUCUUGUCCGGAAAAUAUAAACACCAUCUUCAGGUUGCUGUUCAUAGCUCAGCAUUUAACACCAUCAUUGCUACAGUCCUGAUCGAAAAGCUACAGAACCUUGGCCUCUGUACCACCCUCUGCAAUUGGAUUCUUGACUUCCUAACCAUAAGACCACAACCUGUAUGGAUUGGUAAUAAAAUCUUCUUCUCGCUGAUGAUCAAGACUGUAGCACCUCAGAGCCUCCUGCCUUCCAAUCUAUGUAAUUUCUUCCAACUCCAGGAUCACAAGAGUCUAGCCCGGGGGUCGGCAACCUGCGGCUCCCGAGCCAUUUGUGGCUCUUUCACCUCUGUGCUGCGGCUCCCUGUGGCUUUGGGAAAUAAUUGGUCAGUAUUUAAUUAAAAUGUAUUUUAUGUUAGUUUGUUAGCUUUUGAAAUGUAAUUCUAAAUUUGAAGAUUAUG